CCCAGUAAACGGCGGCCGUAACUAUAACGGUCCUAAGGUAGCGAAAUUCCUUGUCGGGUAAGUUCCGACCCGCACGAAAGGCGUAACGAUUUGGGCACUGUCUCAACGAGAGACUCGGUGAAAUCAUAGUACCUGUGAAGAUGCAGGUUACCCGCGACAGGACGGAAAGACCCCGUGGAGCUUUACUGUAGCCUGAUAUUGAAAUUCGGCACAGCUUGUACAGGAUAGGUAGGAGCCUUUGAAACGUGAGCGCUAGCUUACGUGG
rnacentral:rRNA from 1 species